rnacentral:tRNA from 1 species
GAGGGUAUAGCUCAGUGGUAGAGUGCCUGCCUAGCAUGCAUGAGGUCCUGGGCUCAAUCCUCAGUACCUCCA